GGUGAACGCUGGCGGUAGGCCUAACACAUGCAAGUCGAACGGCAACACAGGAGAGCUUGCUCUCUGGGUGGCGAGUGGCGGACGGGUGAGGAAUACAUCGGAAUCUACUCUGUCGUGGGGGAUAACGUAGGGAAACUUACGCUAAUACCGCAUACGACCUACGGGUGAAAGCAGGGGAUCUUCGGACCUUGCGCGAUUGAAUGAGCCGAUGUCGGAUUAGCUAGUUGGCGGGGCAAAGGCCCACCAAGGCGACGAUCCGUAGCUGGUCUGAGAGGAUGAUCAGCCACACUGGAACUGAGACACGGUCCAGACUCCUACGGGAGGCAGCAGUGGGGAAUAUUGGACAAUGGGCGCAAGCCUGAUCCAGCCAUACCGCGUGGGUGAAGAAGGCCUUCGGGUUGUAAAGCCCUUUUGUUGGGAAAGAAAUCCAGCUGGCUAAUACCCGGUUGGGAUGACGGUACCCAAAGAAUAAGCACCGGCUAACUUCGUGCCAGCCGCCGCCGUAA
rnacentral:rRNA from 1 species